rnacentral:rRNA from 1 species
GAUGAACGCUAGCGGCAGGCCUAAUACAUGCAAGUCGAACGGUGUCUUCGGACAUAGUGGCGCACGGGUGCGUAACACGUAUGCAACCUACCUUACAUUGGGGGAUAGCCUUUCGAAAGGGAGAUUAAUACCGCAUAAGACAGUAGCUGGGCAUCCAGCAGCUGUUAAAGAUUUAUCGAUGUAAGCUGGGCAUGCGUACAAUUAGCUAGUUGGUGAGGUAACGGCUCACCAAGGCAAUGAUUGGUAGGGGAACUGAGAGGUCAAUCCCCCACCCUGACACUGAGAUACGGGCCAGACUCCUACGGGAGGCAGCAGUAGGGAAUAUUGGGCAAUGGACGCAAGUCUGACCCAGCCAUGCCGCGUGCAGGAUGAAGGCGUUAUGCGUUGUAAACUACUUUUAUACAGGAAGAAACGACUCUUGCGAGAGGCAUUGACGGUACUGUAUGAAUAAGCACCGGCUAACUCUGUGCCAGCCGCCGCGGUAAAAC